CCGGGAAGGAACGCGGUCGCGCGUGAACAGCGUGAGGAAAGUCCGGGCACCACAGGGCAGGAUGCCAGCUAACGGCUGGGCGGCGAGCAGACGACCGUCGAACGGCGGAACCGUGCGAAGCCGACGGACAGUGCCACAGAAACGAGUCUGCCUCCCCGAGCGGGAAACCCGUGGGGCGGCGAGGGUGAAACGGUGCGGUAAGAGCGCACCAGGCGCCUUGGGAACGAGGCGCGCUGGUAAACCCCAUCCGGUGCAAGGUCCGAUAGUGGGGGAGAGGCGGCCCGCCUCUUCGAUCCCCAAGAUGACCGCUUGAGGCGAGCGGCGACGCUCGUCCCAGAGAGAUGACCGCGACUCCGUUCGGAGGACAGAACCCGGCUUACUCCCUUCCCGACACC
rnacentral:RNase_P_RNA from 1 species